UUAUUAGAUUAUAAUAAUACUACUUUUAUUACUUAAAUGUUUUAAAUGGGGGCAGAUGGGGACCGAAAUCACCACAUCUUACAGUUCACAGGUGUUAUGGAUGUGAGUUUGAAGCAACUGUUGCCGAAGCAACGAGAAGCUCGAAAUAUUUCACUAAUGAUCCUUCCGCAGGUUCACCUACGGAAA
rnacentral:misc_RNA from 1 species